GACGAACGCUGGCGGCGUGCUUAACACAUGCAAGUCGAACGGAAAGGCCCUGCUUUUGUGGGGUGCUCGAGUGGCGAACGGGGGAGUAACACGUGAGUAACCUGCCCUUUACUUUGGGAUAACUUCAGGAAACUGGGGCUAAUACCGGAUAUGAGCUCCUGCGGCAUGUUGGGGGUUGUAAAGUGUCGGCGGUGGGGGAUGGACUCGCGGCUUAUCAUCUUGUUGGUGGGGUAGUGGCGUACUAAGGCUUUGACGGGUAGCCGGCCUGAGAGGGUGACCGGCCACAUUGGGACUGAGAUACGGCCCAGACUGCUACGGGAGGAAGAAGUGGGGAAUAUUGCACAAUGGGCGGAAGCAUGAUGCAGCAACGCCGCGUGGGGGAUGACGGCCUUCGGGUUGUAAACCGCUUUCGCCUGUGACGAAGCGUGAGUGACGGUAAUGGGUAAAGAAGCAACGGCUAACUACGUG
rnacentral:rRNA from 1 species